rnacentral:rRNA from 1 species
UACGAAGGGGGCUAGCGUUGCUCGGAAUCACUGGGCGUAAAGCGCACGUAGGCGGCUUCUUAAGUCAGGGGUGAAAUCCUGGAGCUCAACUCCAGAACUGCCUUUGAUACUGAGGAGCUCGAGUCCGGGAGAGGUGAGUGGAACUGCGAGUGUAGAGGUGAAAUUCGUAGAUAUUCGCAAGAACACCAGUGGCGAGGGCGGCUCACUGGCCCGGUACUGACGCUGAGGUGCGAAAGCGUGGGGAGCAAACAGG